UCCAGACUGCCAGAGACAGAGAAGCCAAAGUGCAUCUGGGAAGCAAAUGUGUGACUGCACAUCACUGGACAUCAAGUGUGGAUUAUGUCUUCACAUCAAACUGGAAGACUAGAGAAGCUGAACAUAUGAGUGAGCUCAGCUAAGAGACCAAGGAAAGAGGAGAAAAGAGGAACCAAGUGAUAGGUGAUUGAAAGAUAUGACUAGGCGGGAAGGCCAGUCUCGUGUCUCCCACUGCUUGUAUGAGAAGGGCAAAGAGAGAGGUAGGUUCUUUUGCCUGAGACUCAAUGAACCCAGCCUGGGAGUCCUCGGAGCCCACAAUAAACUCCAGAGAUUUCAAACUGACCCUAACAUUUGAAAGUCUUAAAGAAUCUGAUCCAAGGGACACACACAGGAAAACUGAAUCUAGACAGCAUCACUUGUUUCCAAGACAGUCUAUCAGAUUGUUCUGGAGAAGAGCGCUGAACCUACACAGUGCUGUCCAGAAUCAAACUCUGCUUUUCUCUCUUAUGAGCUUCUGAAUAAGUGUAUCUACUUAGAAGAUGCAGGAACUGUGUGAAGUUGCACAACAUCUUGGAGCCUCAUUUCCUUAUUUUAUUUUAUUUAUUUUUUUUGAGCAUUCAUGAGUGCCAUUUUAUUUUGGGUCUCCAGAAAUACUGACAGAUGUAGCAAUAAUCAUUAUCUUUAAACUUCACAUUCACAGGCUUGAAUGCUCUUUCCAUCCUUCCCCUGUAGCUUGUUUCCGGAGCUCAUCUUCAUCCUUCAACACUCAGCUUCAACGUCACCAUCUCCAGGAAGACUAUGCAGAUAUAUCCAGGUUUGCAUGAACAGAGUAAGUUCUCCAAGGUGUCUAUUGACCUACUCUGCACUGCUGUAAUUAUUUACAUCUCCCCUUUUGGUUGGAUGAAUAGUCCUUAAAAGGCAGGAACAGUCCCUCAGAGCUGAAUCUGUGAUCUGACACACGGUAGGUGCCUAAUAAAAAUAUACGUCAAAUGAAUAACAGAAUAAAAUUUAAAAUAUGCAUCUGUAAUUAAAGUCCAACAGAUAAAAUAAGUACUGUUUUUGUAAGUGCUUGCAAGAAACAGACACUAAUGCAACUCUGGCUUAGACCAAAGAAUAGUAAUUUGUUGGAUUAUAUGACUGGGAAAUUCAAAGGGUGGGUCUGGAUCCAAACAUGGUUGAAUCCAGGAUUGAAACUUUAUCAUCAGGACAUAUUCUUGGCUCUGCUUUUCUCUAUCUCAAUUUCCAAGCAGACUCUCAAAGAUGGUGAAAGGAAGCUGGGGGCUUAAGAGAAACCAGUUCCAGGUCCCCACUGGAAAGAUGGGUGGCUUCCCUAUAGCUCCAGCCAAUGUCCUGGGAUGGAAUUUCAUUGGCCAUGCUUGAGUCACAUGACCAUCCCUGACCAAUCACUGUGGCCAAGAGGUUGAGCAUUCUGAUUGGCUGGGGCUGGGUGACAUCACUUGCACCUGCUACUGUGGUGGAACCCAGAGGAGAUUAAAAGGGAGGAGGCUCCUCUGCACCCUCGGGUAUCACAGGAAUUUGGGAUGAUGACAGAGCAGACAUGCCAAGGUCAAGUCAUUUGAAUUUGGCUUGAAAACCAGAAAGAAUUUAGGCAUGUGGGGACACUCUGUGUGGGAAGGCAUGGCAGAAUGACCUGUUCUGUGCUUGAACAGCUGUAAUGGACUAAAUGUUUGGAAAUACAGGUUAGAUCCAGGUCCCAAAGGGCCCUGAUUGCUAGGCAGCAGGAUUCCAAUUUGCUCAGAAGGCAAUGGAAGGCCACUGAAGCUUUUCACUCGGAAGGAGGCAAGCCCAGAACCGCGCUUUAGAGGGAUUAAUCAAGCAGCUGUGUGUAAAAUACCCUGGGUAAAUGUCCGAAAAGCAUUUCAAUAGCCUAGGUAACAGAUAACGAAGCUCUCAAUGUGCUGAGAAGAGCACACACGUGACACUUGGAUUCAGGAACAGCUGAGGACAGAAUUGACACUCCUGAAAUAUAUUUUUCUACCCAGGCCAGCUCCUCCACUUCAGCCACUCUGCAUCUGAGGCUGGCAUUUAGUAGAUAAAGCAAAGACAUUUUCAAGGGCUAUCAUUACUGUGCAUUACACAAAGCUUUGUGUGUGUGUGUGUGUGUUUUCUCCCCUGGCUUCUGACUCGGAGGAGUGGCUUUUUUCUUUCUGUUGCAGAAAGAAGAGGGGUGGUGAGCAAAGAAAUGAGCUCCAUCUCUAUCUGUAGACUCUGACCCUGGCUGAUUCCUUUGUGCACUGUGACAAAUGGAGACACAGAAGAUGGAAAACCACAUUCCUAAUUUCUUUCCCUGACAGACACCUAUUAGCAUUCUGUAUUGCAAAGAAGACCUGAAAGACGUGGAUGCAAAUAUCAUCAAGGCAGCAUCUCUGCAUCCACAGGAAGACAAUUAAACACACACAAGUUGCCUACACCUCCAGCCUCAGACAAGCUCCAAGGGCUGCCUUGAAGUC
rnacentral:lncRNA from 1 species